GACGAACGCUGGCGGCGUGCUUAACACAUGCAAGUCGAACGGAAAGGCCCUGCUUUUGUGGGGUGCUCGAGUGGCGAACGGGUGAGUAACACGUGAGUAACCUGCCCUUGACUUUGGGAUAACUUCAGGAAACUGGGGCUAAUACCGGAUAGGAGCUCCUGCUGCAUGGUGGGGGUUGGAAAGUUUCGGCGGUUGGGGAUGGACUCGCGGCUUAUCAGCUUGUUGGUGGGGUAGUGGCUUACCAAGGCAUUGACGGGUAGCCCGCCUGAGAGGGUGACCGGCCACAGUGGGACUGAGAGACGGCCCAGACUCCUACGGGAGGCAGCAGUGGGGAAUAUGGCACAAUGGGCGGAAGCCUGAGGCAGCAACGCCGCGUGCGGGAUGACGGCCUUCGGGUUGUAAACCGCUUUCGCCUGUGACGAAGCGUGAGUGACGGUAAUGGGUAAAGAAGCACCGGCUAACUACGUG
rnacentral:rRNA from 1 species